rnacentral:rRNA from 1 species
GCAGGCCUAAUACAUGCAAGUCGAACGGCAGCACGGGUAGCAAUACCUGGUGGCGAGUGGCGCACGGGUGCGUAACGCGUAUGCAACCUACCUUUGACUGGGGGAUAGCCCCGAGAAAUCGGGAUUAAUACCCCAUAUCAUUACAAGCCGGCAUCGGUUUGUGAUGAAAGCUCCGGCGGUCUUAGAUGGGCAUGCGUGACAUUAGCUUGUUGGUGAGGUAACGGCUCACCAAGGCAACGAUGUCUAGGGGUUCUGAGAGGAUUUUCCCCCACACUGGUACUGAGACACGGACCAGACUCCUACGGGAGGCAGCAGUAAGGAAUAUUGGGCAAUGGACGCAAGUCUGACCCAGCCAUGCCGCGUGCAGGAUGACGGCCCUACGGGUUGUAAACUGCUUUUAUACGGGAAAAAACUCCCGGUCGCGUACCGGGACUGAUGGUACCGUAAGAAUAAGCAUCGGCUAACUCCGUGCCAGCAGCCGCGGUAAUACGGAGGAUGCAAGCGUUAUCCGGAUUCAUUGGGUUUAAAGGGUGCGCAGGCGGAAUGAUAAGUCAGUGGUGAAAUCCUACGGCUCAACUGUAGAACUGCCAUUGAUACUGUUGUUCUUGAGUACAUUUGUAGUGGGCGGAAUGUGUC